GAUGAAGAACGUAGCGAAAUGCGAUAAGUAAUGUGAAUUGCAGAAUUCAGUGAAUCAUCGAAUCUUUGAACGCACAUUGCGCCCCUCGGUAUUCCGGGGGGCAUGCCUGUUCGAGCGUCAUUUCACCAAUCAAGCCUCGCUUGGUCUUGGGCGUCCGCGGUCCGCCGCGCGCCCCAAUGUCGCCGGCCGAGCCGCCCGUCUCUAAGCGUUGUGGUCAUACAACUCGCUUGCGAGCGCGGGGGGCUUUGGGCCGUGUAAACACCCAUCACAGGUUGACCUCGGAUCAGGUAGGGAUACCCGCUGAACUUAAGCAUAUCAAUAAGCGGAGGA
rnacentral:misc_RNA from 1 species